rnacentral:siRNA from 1 species
UAAAAACGUUGGACCGGCUCUGUG